CUUUCAUCAGGUUCUAAAAUGUGAGUAUGCUGUCCGUGGAGAGAUUGUUACCCAUGCCCAGUUAUGGUGUUAUAUCUGUACCAGAAGUGACGGAUUGACAGCCUCUAACUAGCAAUGAUAGAUACCUGGUGGCUGCAAUUGAUGGGGUCUCCGAGAAAAUGACUAUGUAGGAUAUCUGUGAUCUAAUAUGGGAUAUACGCAUUCAAGACAGUGAAAAAUCAGAAUCUGUUUCUACCAACACAAAAUUGUUGGCUGUGUGGAAGGCUAUGUGGCAGUUCAUGUGCAUUUGUAGUUUGUUUUGAAAACUUUAAAUAGACAAUUAAUUGUUUUGUUGGUAUUGUGCUGAUUGUUUUCUCUUGAUGAAUGUUAAAUGGGUGAAACAUGCACAGGUUCAAUCAUUGGUUGAUUAUGAUAUUGUUAGCUUUGGUUGAUAGAAACCAAGGCUAAAGAUGGAUUUA